rnacentral:rRNA from 1 species
UACGUAGGCAGCAAGCGUUGUUCGGAGUUACUGGGCGUAAAGAGUGCGUAGGUGGUGCCCUAAGUCUGUUGUGAAAUCUCCCGGCUUAACUGGGAGGGUGCGGUGGAAACUGGGGUGCUUGAGUGUGGGAGAGGUAAGCGGAAUUCCUGGUGUAGCGGUGAAAUGCGUAGAUAUCCGGAGGAACACCAAAGGCGAAGGCAGUGUCCUGGGGAGUACCUGACGCUCAGGUGCGAAAGCCAGGGGAGCGAACGGG